rnacentral:rRNA from 1 species
GACGAACGCGGCGGCGUGCCUAAUACAUGCAAGUAGAACGCUGAAGGAGGAGCUUGCUUCUCUGGAUGAGUUGCGAACGGGUGAGUAACGCGUAGGUAACCUGCCUGGUAGCGGGGGAUAACUAUUGGAAACGAUAGCUAAUACCGCAUAAGAGUAGAUGUUGCAUGACAUUUGCUUAAAAGGUGCAAUUGCAUCACUACCAGAUGGACCUGCGUUGUAUUAGCUAGUUGGUGGGGUAACGGCUCACCAAGGCGACGAUACAUAGCCGACCUGAGAGGGUGAUCGGCCACACUGGGACUGAGACACGGCCCAGACUCCUACGGGAGGCAGCAGUAGGGAAUCUUCGGCAAUGGACGGAAGUCUGACCGAGCAACGCCGCGUGAGUGAAGAAGGUUUUCGGAUCGUAAAGCUCUGUUGUAAGAGAAGAACGA